GGUGAAGAACGCAGUGAAAUGCGAUAAGUAGUGUGAAUUGCAGAAUUCAGUGAAUCAUCGAAUCUUUGAACGCACAUUGCGCCCCUCGGUAUUCCGUGGGGCAUGCCUGUUCGAGCGUCAUUUAACCCCUCAAGCCUAGCUUGGUAUUGGGUGCUUGUCCCGCCUCUCGCGCGGCGACUCACCUCAAAGUCAUUGGCAGCCCGCAUCUCGCCGGCCGUGAGCGCAGCACAGACGCGCUCUUGGCAACGACGGAUCGGCUCUCCAAAAGCUUAUUUCAACCACUGACCUCGGAUCAGGUAGGGAUACCCGCUGAACUUAAGCAUAUCAAUAAGCGGAGGA
rnacentral:misc_RNA from 1 species